rnacentral:rRNA from 1 species
CCUACGGGUGGCAGCAGUGAGGAAUAUUGGUCAAUGGACGAGAGUCUGAACCAGCCAAGUAGCGUGAAGGAUGACUGCCCUAUGGGUUGUAAACUUCUUUUAUAUGGGAAUAAAAUGUUCCACGUGUGGGAUUUUGUAUGUACCCUAUGAAUAAGGAUCGGCUAACUCCGUGCCAGCAGCCGCGGUAAUACGGAGGAUCCGAGCGUUAUCCGGAUUUAUUGGGUUUAAAGGGAGCGUAGGUGGAUUGUUAAGUCAGUUGUGAAAGUUUGCGGCUCAACCGUAAAAUUGCAGUUGAAACUGGCAGUCUUGAGUACAGUAGAGGUGGGCGGAAUGCGUGGUGUAGCGGUGAAAUGCUUAGAUAUCACGAAGAACUCCGAUUGCGAAGGCAGUUCACUGGACUGCAACUGACACUGAGGCUCGAAAGUGUGGGUAUCAAACAGGAUUAGAUACCCGUGUAGUC